CCGGCAGAGAUUGUCGGUUUCCCUUGUGGCCUGUGUGCAGGUGGUUGCAUGGCUGUCGUCAGCUCGUGUCGUGAGAUGUUGGGUUAAGUCCCGCAACGAGCGCAACCCUUGUCUCAUGUUGCCAGCGCGUUAUGCGGGACUCGUGAGAGACGCCGGGGUCAACUCGGAGGAAGGUGGGGAUGACGUCAAGUCAUCAUGCCCCUUAUGUCCAGGGCUUUCACACAUGCUACAAUGGCCAGGUACAAAGGGCUGCGAUGCCGUGAGGUGGAGCGAAUCCUUUCAAAGCCGGUCUCAGUUGGGGUCUGCAACUCGACCCCGUGAAGUCGGAGUCGCUAGUAAUCGCAANUCAGCAGCGCUGCAGGUAAAU
rnacentral:rRNA from 1 species